UUGCUCCUUUGACGUUAGCGGCGGACGGGUGAGUAACACGUGGAUAACCUACCUAUAAGACUGGGAUAACUUCGGGAAACCGGAGCUAAUACCGGAUAAGAUUUUGAACCGCAUGGUUCAAUAGUGAAAGACGGCCUUGCUGUCACUUAUAGAUGGAUCCGCGCCGUAUUAGCUAGUUGGUAAGGUAACGGCUUACCAAGGCAACGAUACGUAGCCGACCUGAGAGGGUGAUCGGCCACACUGGAACUGAGACACGGUCCAGACUCCUACGGGAGGCAGCAGUAGGGGAUCUUCCGCAAUGGGCGAAAGCCUGACGGAGCAACGCCGCGUGAGUGAUGAAGGUCUUCGGAUCGUAAAACUCUGUUAUCAGGGAAGAACAAACGUGUAAGUAACUGUGCACGUCUUGACGGUACCUGAUCAGAAAGCCACGGCUAACUACGUGCCAGCAGCCGCGGUAAUACGUAGGUGGCAAGCGUUAUCCGGAAUUAUUGGGCGUAAAGCGCGCGUAGGCGGUUUUUUAAGUCUGAUGUGAAAGCCCACGGCUCAACCGUGGAGGGUCAUUGGAAACUGGAAAACUUGAGUGCAGAAGAGGAAAGUGGAAUUCCAUGUGUAGCGGUGAAAUGCGCAGAGAUAUGGAGGAACACCAGUGGCGAAGGCGACUUUCUGGUCUGUAACUGACGCUGAUGUGCGAAAGCGUGGGGAUCAAACAGGAUUAGAUACCCUGGUAG
rnacentral:rRNA from 1 species